UUCUCUAGGUGUAGGUGAUCUUACAGAAAUAUCUUUUGGAAAGAUUCAGUAAUGGAUCUUUCUUAUCAAUUUCUACAUACAAAACCUGACAAACAAUUAUAGUUUUGGAAUAAUGGCUAUUGAGAGGGCAUACUUUACAAUUAAAAUUGUCUUGUUGGUUUUAGUUUUGUAAAUCAUGGUAUAGUGCACUUGCUCAAGUGCAACUAGUUGUUUUGCCAUUGCUUAAUGAAAUGGGUCUAGCAUCACCUUUUUGGAGGUGCAAUUUUUG
rnacentral:misc_RNA from 1 species